rnacentral:lncRNA from 10 species
GGGGAGAGGAGGGAGCUAAGUGAAGACCGGAGGGAAUGAGCCGGGCAUCUGCGGAGAGGGGCUGCUUGACCCCAGUGAGGAGGGAACGGGGCUCUCAGCGAAUGCUGUCAGGAGGAAGAGGAGGGUAUCCUUGCAAGGAGCCCAUCGCAGGUAACACUGAAACACAAGGAUAGAUCUGAGGGACACAGCAUUCUGUGUACAUUUACAUUCGAGACAAAAUGCUUCACUUAUGCACAUUGAGUAUGCAUGAAGAUAAAAAUGUGCAAAAGUCCUCACCGAAAGACAUUCAGAAAAUAAUUCACAAUAUUUUCUUCAACCAGCAGUCUUUGAAACAAGUUGAUUUCACAAAAGGCUCAGGAAGCUUGCUGAGUUUUGCUACUUUCUGGCAUACAAUAAUAAAUUCCUUGGUGACCAUUCCAUGAAACAGGAGAUUGGCCCUCUUCAGACAUUGGAUCUGCUGUUGCCUUGACCUUGGAUUUACCAGAUUCUGGUAAUGUAAGAAAUAAAAUUUUGUUGUUUAUAAGCCACCCAGAUUA